ACGCUCGACACCUACGAGAGGCAGCAGUAGGGAAUCUUCCACAAUGGACGCAAGUCUGAUGGAGCAACGCCGCGUGAGUGAAGAAGGUUUUCGGAUCGUAAAGCUCUGUUGUUGGUGAAGAAGGAUAGAGGUAGUAACUGGCCUUUAUUUGACGGUAAUCAACCAGAAAGUCACGGCUAACUACGUGCCAGCAGCCGCGGUAAGUACUGAGGCGGGCGUGGCGAAGGACG
rnacentral:rRNA from 1 species